CACGUAGGGGGCGAGCGUUGUCCGGAUUUAUUGGGCGUAAAGAGCUCGUAGGCGGUUUCGUAAGUCGGAUGUGAAAACUCCAGGCUCAACUUGGAGACGCCAUUCGAUACUGCGAUGACUUGAGUCCGGUAGGGGAGUGUGGAAUUCCUGGUGUAGCGGUGAAAUGCGCAGAUAUCAGGAGGAACACCGGCGGCGAAAGCGGCUCUCUGGCCCGGAUCUGACGCUGAGGCGCGAAAGCGUGGGGAGCAAACAGG
rnacentral:rRNA from 1 species